rnacentral:rRNA from 1 species
CUCAGGACGAACGCUGGCGGCAUGCCUAAUACAUGCAAGUCGAGCGAACAGAUGAAGUGCUUGCACUUCUGACGUUAGCGGCGAACGGGUGAGUAACACGUAAGGAAUCUACCUAUAAGCGGGGGAUAACAUUCGGAAACGGGUGCUAAUACCGCAUAAUAUYUUCUUCCGCAUGGAAGAAGAUUGAAAGACGGCUCUGCUGUCACUUAUAGAUGACCUUGCGGUGCAUUAGUUAGUUGGUGGGGUAAUGGCCUACCAAGACGAUGAUGCAUAGCCGACCUGAGAGGGUGAUCGGCCACAUUGGGACUGAGACACGGCCCAAACUCCUACGGGAGGCAGCAGUAGGGAAUCUUCCGCAAUGGGCGAAAGCCUGACGGAGCAAUGCCGCGUGAGUGAAGAAGGCCUUCGGGUCGUAAAACUCUGUUAUAAGAGAAGAACAAAUUGUAGAGUAACUGCUACAGUCUUGACGGUAUCUUAUCAGAAAGCCACGGCUAACUACGUGCCAGCAGCCGCGGUAAUACGUAGGUGGCAAGCGUUGUCCGGAUUUAUUGGGCGUAAAGGGAGCGCAGGUGGUUUCUUAAGUCUGAUGUGAAAGCCCACGGCUUAACCGUGGAGGGUCAUUGGAAACUGGGAAACUUGAGUACAGAAGAGGAAUGUGGAACUCCAUGUGUAGCGGUGGAAUGCGUAGAUAUAUGGAAGAACACCAGUGGCGAAGGCGACAUUCUGGUCUGUUACUGACACUGAGGCUCGAAAGCGUGGGGAGCAAACAGGAUUAG